rnacentral:rRNA from 1 species
UACAGAGGGGGCAAGCGUUAUUCGGAAUUAUUGGGCGUAAAGGGCGCGUAGGCGGCCUGGCAAGUGGAAGGUGAAAUCCCUCGGCUUAACCGAGGAACUGCCCUCCAAACUGCUUGGCUUGAGUCCGGGAGAGGUGAGUGGAAUUCCCAGUGUAGCGGUGAAAUGCGUAGAUAUUGGGAGGAACACCAGUGGCGAAGGCGGCUCACUGGACCACAACUGACGCUGAGGCGCGAAAGCUAGGGGAGCAAACAGG